rnacentral:lncRNA from 1 species
UGGGGACAAUUCAGCAUUUGGCAAAAACAUUUCUUGAGGCACACUAAUCGUUUACAGUGUAACUAUGACAUAAGUCAGUUUUGUGUACCUGCCACUCUGACCUCAGCUAAGAAAUUGAAUUUUAGCUUCAAAGCUGUACCUCAGUUUUGGUAACUGUCUUUCUUGUAAUCCUGAACUGGCUCGAACCAUAACGUUAAUAGUGAGCUGUAAAGCAGUUGUGCCCACAGGAGAGGCUCAUCCAUUCUGAUAGAGAAAGCAAUUCCAGAGUACAAAGAAAAUCGUGAGAAGAUAUGUAAACUCAGGAGUCGAGUCUUCAACUAAUGUAACAAAAAGACUGCUGACUCUGUAGCUCUUGUUCCCCAAGGCUCUUGUUUCCCAAGUGAGUUUGUGUUUAUGAUAUCAGUGGGAAGCUUUCUGUUCCAUUUGUUUUUUUUUGUUUUUUUAAAUCGGCUGUUGUUCUGUGAGUUCUGAAUUGUACUUCUAGCAUACAUUGCUCACAUCUAAAGUCACCUCCACAGAGUAUGAUUCAACUUCCUUUGGCUGAAGCAUUUCAUGUAAUUAGCUACACUUUCUUCAGCUGUUCAGCUCAGCUGUGUGCUUUACAAUGAAAGUCCUGUAGCCACUUAUUUCCCUUUCAAGUAGGAUUGUUGUUGGGAUAGGAACUUAAACUGCAUGCAGGAAGACAAGGGUGCCUUGAACUGAGCUGGAGCCCUCACUGAAUCCUGAACACAUCCAGUCAACACUCUUCCAGGAGCCGUAGUGACAUACCUACAACUAAUCAUGGAAUCCAGGAAAUGGAAGGAGAACUUAGCCAAAAAUAGUGCCUUUAAAGACUUAAGAAGGAAGGAUGUUUUGGAGGUACUGGAGCUCAAGGAUGAGAAUAGAGAUUUGACCUCACAGCUUGGAAAACAAUUUAUUUGUUUUUGUGCCAGGCAGGCAGCAACACACAGUAGGUGAGUUUGGGAAGGGAAGGCUGUGGACAGCUGCAGUAACUGUGCUCACACAAAAAAGCAAAUAGCAUGUAUGUUUUUCCUGUGUCAUAUCAAGAGAAGCAAUACCUUCCACUCAAGAAACUGAUCUUAGUGAUGCUCUGGAUACAAUCAAAAGCAGCAUGUGACAAAGAGACAUUUGUUGCUCUUCCAGAUUUUUUUGCAGUCACUCCUGCCUUGUCCUGACAGACUCUUUCCUCCACCUAAAAGAAAAAUUCAGUAUCAUCUUCCUCUUCUCCCACCACACCCAGUGGGAGUUCUUUUGGCUGGAAUUAGCCCAGUUUUUUGUCUGCUUUCUUAAUCCCUUAUAAUCUUUACCUGAUUCUGCAAAAAGGCUUUUCUACUCACAAAGAUCAUCUCUGCUCUAAAACAUUCCUCUGUUGCUUCAUAUUGUCUGCUGCUUUGUCCCUAGCUACUCUGCCUUUUAACCUUUCUGUUAUGUUGGUUUUUUUGUUACUGUGGUUCUUGUUUUUGCUUAGUCUUUCAUUCAUGUUUUGAGCCUCAGUCCUUUGCAUCCUAUCUGCUCCAGUCACCUUUUCCAACUGUGUUCAGAAAUGUCAAGGUCCUAACAGAGUUACAUGUUGUUUGUUGAUGCUUUUUGUUUUGUUUUUGUAUAGAUGGCUUGAUGAAAUUGAAAUAAUAUGCAAAAUAUGAGAGAGGGACAAUAUUU